CUGAAAAAACUCAUUCGGCCGAACUUCGUGAUUAGCGCCUGCGAUACAUUAAUGAAGGAUACCGCAUAUAUUUUCAAAAUGGCGGACAAAAACAAAACGAAGGUAAUAAAGUGAUUAAAAGACAGGCAAAACGAACUCUUGCGUGCUCCCUUGGAUUUGGUAGGUACAAAGUGCCGGUUGUACUAGCCAGGAUGGCGUGAUUGAUGACGAAUCGCUUGUAAAAACGCGGACAAAUAUUUGCUCGAGUUACGCUUCUGGUAUAACUUCCUAUUCUGUGACCAUGCGUUCUCUGCCGACCGACACUUCGUGACAAACCCACGCAAAAAACUGGCCGCCAUCUUGGCUUCGGGCAAGUAUGGGCAUGUUUACUUGAGUUAUCGUUCCAGGUUAUUUACAGUUCACUGACCACAACCGACUAAUACACAAAUUUUUAAGCCGAUUCUUAAGGUAGAAAUUGGGUUCAUUCAAGUUCGCUACUGUACAUAAGCCACCUAGAGUUCAGUGUUCAUAGUCGUCCAACUGGUAAAGUUUAAGCAUAGUCUAUCAAGAUAUAAAUGUCUGGAAACUAAACCGAAUUCAUUGUGUUAUGUUUUUUCUGAGUUUAUGGUAACGGUGAAUGAGCUCAUUGUAUUUUCGUAUAAUGAAGUAGUACUGAGAUGAAACGUGCAACCACGAUGAAUGAUAUUCAAUGAAGUUGAGACAAAGGAUUUGUGCAUAGGUACAGUUCAACAUCAAACAAAGAUCUUCUAUUUUGUGGCUUUGAAGUUUGCCGCGCUUCCAGACCAUCAUAUCUUGACAGAUUAUGGUUUAAGAUAAGAAAAUCUACAAUUUAAAUUGUUCAUUUAAUAGUUAAUUAAGAGUAUUCAUUUAAUUAAGUACUUGCACUGUCUCUGGGUUCUCUUGGGUCACGUCUUCAUUUUGUUGCCAUCUAACACUGUGUCUUCAUGUGGACUAUCCAUCACGGGUCGGUUGUACGAAAGCCAGAUGGAACAGCUAUCAACCGGUAGUGAUUUUUUUAACCGUUGUAAAAAAUGCUUGAAUGCGGGUUAUAUCAAUCAACGAACAAUUUUAGAAAGCUUGAAAAAUCACUUCCGGGGCGGUUUGUUCAAAGGUGGGUUAUCGCUAACCCUGGGUUAAAAUUUAACCUGCUGUUUUAGUUCAUAUAUUUCUACAUGUCUGUUUAUUUCAAAACUUCAGAGAAGUAAACUCCUAUCGAUCCAGACAAGAUCUCUGAAUAAAUAUUUCCAAAUUUAUAGACAAGCUGUGAGGAAGUUUGCUUUCAGUUUUAGGUUAAUUUAGUGCCAAACUAACCCAGCUUUGAACAACCGGCCCCAGGGGCGGAUUCAGACCGUUGCAACCGUAGCAUAUGCUACGGUCAGAUUUUCCCUGAGAUAUAUUUUUCCAGGUUGUACCUUUUUUAAAGUUAUUAAAAACUAAAACGUUAUACUAUUUUUAAUUGCCGUUAUUUUCAAUUUUUCAUUGAAACUUGGUGCAAUUUUUUUAAAAUUUACUAAAUCAUAUUGAUACAAUUUUAUCGAGUUUUUAUUUCAUUUUGGAUAAUUAAAUUCGGGUUUUUCUCAAAUUUCCGCCCGAAAUACUGCCUGUAUUUGCGGGUUUUGCACUAGUACUAUAUCACAUCGUUCUGAAGUCGUAGCAUUUGCUUCAUUGUGAUUGGCUUGCUUCGUCUAACCGUAGCAAACCAAUCAUAGCGCUGUAUUUGGAAAUUUUUGCAGUGGUCAGAUUGAAACUGACCGUUGCAAAAAUUCGCAAAUACGGCGUGCUGAUUGGUUUGCUACGGUCAGACGAAGCACGCCAAUCAGAAUGAGGCAAAAUGCUACUGUUUGCAAUAGUCGCAUCGACUUCAGAGCGAUGCUGGCUUGUUAUUGUCGUGUCGGCUCCUCGUUGUAAUCGAAUAGUCGGUAAAUUUUAAUCGCCGCUCGUUCCAAGGAGAAAGAUAUGGUGGCUUCUACAUGACUCCACGAUCUUCUGUGUAUAAUGAACGAAUGUAAACGUGUUUCAUUUAACGAAAAGGUGCGCGAAAGAAUUCUGAUCGAAAGCUUUUGGUGUGCGAUUAUUGGCAUAAUUUGCAUUUCCCGCAAUGUGAACUGUGAAGACAGCGCUGUUUGAAUCACCUCCGUGUCAGGUCAGUCUCAUGAAUAGUAUAUUAAAUAUGUAAAUAACAUAUCGAAUUUUACACAGUUCAUGCGUCUCGAAU
rnacentral:lncRNA from 1 species